rnacentral:rRNA from 1 species
UACGUAGGGGGCAAGCGUUAUCCGGAUUUACUGGGCGUAAAGCGCGUUAAGGCGGUUGGCAAAGUUGGUGGUGAAAUUGCAGGGCUCAACCCUGCAACUGCCUCCAAUACUGGUCGACUAGAGUACGAGAGAGGAAGGUGGAAAUUCCCGGUGUAGUAGUGAAAUGCGUAGAGUAUCGGGAGGAACACCAGUGGCGAAGGCGGCCUUCUGGCUCGUAACUGACGCGUGUAGCGCGAAAGCGUGGGGAGCAAACAGG